AUGGGAAACAAUCACGUUAAAGGCUAAUGUAACGCACUGAAGAAGACUGCCUGAGCCAGGCAAAUAAUCCACAUUAAUAAUGAUGUCCAAUGCAAUAGGUAAACACAGACUUGGAAACAUUUCGGGCAAAAUUCAGCCUUGACGGAAGUGGGUGUCACUCUGAUUGAAAGAUUUGGCCUACUGAGCUACAAAAUAUGGGAUCAGCUACUCAACAUGGUGGCAGAUAUUUCCUAUGCCAUUUUUCUCUGCUUUUUAAAUGGCCUGACCAUAGUAAAUACCACAAUUUUGGGGUUUGUGGCCUGACUCAAUAAGCCUGCUUGACUUCUUUGGGAGCUUUGUCUCCUAAAGCUAUCUGGACAGCACCUAGCAGUCCCGAUCCACGACUAGGCCUCCUAUGCAGUAAGAUCUCAUUGUGAUCUAAGGACCAAGUCAUGUGAUGUUUCCUCCUUCAACGAUGUUUGAUUUCUCCAUGCCUGGAAUAUCUGAUGGAGCACAUCACUAAUGUUGAAGUGUAUUUUCAGGCAUAUGUAACUCAAAUAAUAAUUGAACCAAUUUUGCUGAAAACUUUCCUGAAUAAUUUACCUGAGACCGAAUGUGGAAAAAGUCACCCCUUAAGAAGUCCGGCUCCAGCUCUCAGAUUUUUAGGCACCUGACUCCACUACCCUCAGUCCAAUGAGCUGAUGGCCAGAUUUAAUGGGACUCUGAAAAUGACACUGAGGACUUCGAUGGAUCAGCAUCCCCAGGACUGGAGCAAAUGCUUGCCUACCUGCUGUUCAUUUAUAGGGAAGUGCCCUA